rnacentral:rRNA from 1 species
GACGAACGCUGGCGGCGCGCUUAACACAUGCAAGUCGAGCGAUGAAACUUUAAGAGAUCCCUUCGGGGCGAAGCUAAAGUGGAUUAGCGGCGGACGGGUGAGUAACCUGUGAUUAACCUGCCGUAGACAUUGGGAUAGCUACGGUAAACCGGGAUUAAUACCACAUAAAAUCAUAAUGACACAUGUCAUAACGAGCAAAACUCCGGUGGUCUAAGAUGGAAUCGAGUCCCCUUAGCAAGUUGGUAGAGUAAAAGCGUACCAAGGCGAGGAUGGGUAGCCGGGCUGAGAGGGUGAGCUGCCACAUUGGAAGUGAGGAACGGUCCAGAAUCAUACGGGAGGCAGCAGUGGGGAAUAUUGCACAAUGGAGGGAACUGAAAUGCGCCGACGCGGCGUAAACGAAGUAUGCUUUCGAAUAGUAACGUUCUUUUAUAUGCGCAGUUAAUGGCGGUAACAUAAGAAAAAGCCCCGGCUAAAUACCUG